CUCUGGGCUUUGACCACACAAAGCUCCCUGAUUCAUUCAAGUCUCUGCUUAACUCUUACCUUCAAGAGGCCUCUCUGGACCACUCUAUCCAAAAAAGCACCUCCAUCACUCUCAUUCCUGCUUGCCACUUAAGUUUUCUUCAUAGUAGUUACUGCUACCUGAAAACGUGUGUGUGGUGUGUGUGUGUGAGCGCGCAUGCAUGUGUGUGUGCACCUAUGUGGGUGUGUGUGCAUGUGUGCAUGUGUGUGUCUGUGCCUGUGUGUGCCUGCAUGUGCACGUGUGUGUGCGUGUCUGUGUGUGCGUGUGUGUUUGUGUGUCUGCUUCCUUGAUGGUUGUUAGUUGUCCCCACUAGAAUUUGAGCUCCCUGGGGACAGGAACCUAAUGGUCCACUAUUGUAGCCACCCUCAUUCAAUCCUGAAACGUGGUUGAAAGCUGACUCUGUGUCAGGCCCUAAUCAGUGUGCUGAGAAUGAAACAGAAGUCUGCUCUCUCAGAGCUUACCUCCUCCUGAGAGAAGACAGACAAUGAGCAAGUAACCCGAGGUGAGUAACAGGCCCCACUAUACUGAGUGCUGAGGGCCUUCACAACGCAGGAGGAGGGGGAAGGAAGUUGCCAGAGCAAAGGGGAAGUGACACUAUUUUAUGCAGGGUGGACAGAAGAGGCCUCCUGAUAAAGUGACAUUUGAGCAGACACCUGAAGGAGGUGAGGAAGAGAGCCCUGCAGAUACCCAGGGGAAGAGCUGAAAAGUACAAGGAACAGCGAAUGCAAAGGUCCUGAGGCAGGAGCGUGCUUGACUUGGCACAAGAACAGCAAACACCAAGCAGAAUGCCUGGCCUGUAUUAGACCCCGUAAACGCCUGAACUACAUACAUGGCAGAGAUGAAGCACACAGUCUUCAUCUGACUGUGCAGGUUUGAAUUUGAAUCUGGCUGUGCAGGUUCAAAUUCCAGUUCUCCUACUUAUCUCUUGGCUCUUUCCUUCCCUUCCCAUGGUUCUUGUCCCAUGCUCUUCCUGCCCCAAGGAACCCCCAUCAAGGCUGCCAAAGUCCCAGACUCUGUGACUGCUCCCUGUGAGAGACGGGCCUAUUCACGCCACUCUCCUCGGGCUCGAGGAC
rnacentral:lncRNA from 1 species